rnacentral:rRNA from 1 species
AAUCGGGGGGGAAAACCCUGAUGCAGCCAUGCCGCGUGUGUGAAGAAGGCCUUCGGGGUUGUAAAGCACUUUCAGUAGGGGAGGAAGGUAGUGUAGUUAAACACCUGCAUUAUUUGACGUUACCUACAGAAGAAGCACCGGCUAACUCCGUGCCAGCAGCCGCGGUAAUACGGAGGGUGCGAGCGUUAAUCGGAAUUACUGGGCGUAAAGCGCAUGCAGGCGGCCUGUUAAGUCAGAUGUGAAAGCCCGGGGCUUAACCUCGGAAUUGCAUUUGAAACUGGCAGGCUAGAGUCUUGUAGAGGGGGGUAGGAAUUUCAGGUGUAGCGGUGAAAUGCGUAGAGAUCUGAAGGAAUACCAGUGGCGAAGGCGGCCCCCUGGACAAAGACUGACGCUCAGACUGCGAAAGCGUGGGGAGCCAAACAGGAUUAGAUACCCUGGUAG